CCCCAGCGCUUGUGUGACUGCGCAUGUGCGGCUCCGCGGCCAGUGAGCCAUGGCGCUGACGGAGGCAGACUUGUUGCGCCAGUUCCCGCUGCUUCUGCCCCAGAAUCGGACGAAAACUGUAUAUGAGGGAUUUAUUUCGGCUCAGGGAAGAGACUUCCACCUUAGAAUUUUGUUGCCUGAAGAUUUACAAAUGAAGAAUGCAAGAUUACUAUGUAGUUGGCGGCUGAAAACUAUACUGAAUGGAUACCAUCAAAUAGUCGAACAGAGAAUGCAGCAUGCUCCUGAUCUAAAGAGCUUUAUGAUAGAGUUGAAGAUGAUUUUGGAAGUUGCUUUAAAGAAUAGACAAGAGUUAUGUGUACAGCCUCCUCCUUCCCAGUUCUACUCAGUCCUUAUUGAAGAGAUAGGAACUCUUGGUUGGGAUAAACUUGUAUAUGUGGAUACUUGCUUCAGUACCAUCAAGGUAAAAGCAGAAGAUUCUUCUGGUAGAGAGCAUCUAAUCACUGUCAAGUUGAAGGCAAAGCACCCUGCAGAAUCACCUGAUUGUUUUGUGGAUUUUCCUGUUCCAUUUUCUGUUUCCUGGACACCACAGGUGAAGAGAUGCAAAGCAGGGAGAGUGGACUCUAGUUUAUACUCUGGUGAAACGAAACAGAGCUCCUUAAUAAGCAUUCAUAGUCAGUUUUUGGCAGCAUUAGAAUCAUUGAAGGCAUUUUGGGAUGUAAUGGAUGAAAUCGAUGAGAAGACCUGGGUACUUGAGCCACAGAAACCUACACGGAGUGCAACAGCACGCAGAAUUGCAUUAGGGAAUAAUGCUUCCAUAAAUGUAGAAGUAGACCCCAGGCAUCCUACUAUGCUUCCUGAGUGCUGCUUCCUUGGAGCUGACCAUGUUGUAAAACCCCUGGGAAUUAAGCUGAGCAGAAACAUGCAUUUGUGGGAUCCAGAAUAUAGUCUAUUACAAAAUUUGAAAGAUGUUUUAGAAAUUGAUUUUCCAACUCGUACUAUCCUGGAAAAAUCUGAUUUUACUAUGGAUUGUGGAAUUUGUUAUGCCUAUCAACUUGAUGGCGCCAUUCCUGAUCAAGUGUGCAAUAAUUCCCAGUGUGGUCAGCCUUUUCAUAAAAUAUGCUUAUAUGAGGUAAAACUAAAAUAAAAAAAUAACAUCAGCAAGACUUUCUUCAGCUAACAGAACAUGCGAACUAUGCAUAUUUGAAAUAAGCAGAACUUAAGAUCCAUUUACUUAAUAAGUAGCCCCCUCAUUUGCAGUUAACUUCUUUUACUAAAUUAUUCUAGAUAUUUGUGUGCUUUAUUUCUUCAUCAUGGUUACUAAUUAAUGAAGAAAUGUCCAAAGAUGUGCAGAAUGGGGGAAUAUCAAUGCAGGCUAUAUACUUGGACUACCUAAUUGUUCCAUAACAUACUAAGUUGAUGAUACAAAGGAAUCUUUCCAUACAUAUCUUAUGUAACUACAAUGCAAACUGUUGAUUCACCCAACUGGGAUGAUGGAAAUAGUGUAGUGAAAAGGAAUUAGCACAUAGGUAGCAUCUAUUAUUCUUUAGAUUUUAUAUAUAUAUAUAUAUGUAUAGAAUAAAUGCAGUAAUCCUUCUUUUGUUAUUUAUAAUGGUAGGUGAUCUGAACAUUUCACAGCACUUUUUUUUGGUACCGGGGAUUGAACUUGGGACCUUGUGCUUUCAAGGCAGGUGGUGGAACCACUGAGCUAAAUCCCCAGCCCUCACAGCCCUCUUAAGCAAUGUUUUAUUUAUUUACUAUAUGUGAAAUUUUCUUCCAUUCUUGUUUUUGGAUAUUCACUUUCCAUAGCACUUAGGGCCCAGUUGAUAUGAUUACAAAACACCUUGCCAUUUUAUAGUUCUUUUAGUUUUCAGACUCCCUUUGUCACCUCUUUCCCUUUAUGCUUAACAGCAGCAGUUUAGUGUUAUGUGUACUUUAGAAAUAAAAAACCUAAAGAUAGAUGUCAAUUUACUUUAUAUAAAAUCACAAAAUACCAUAUCUAAUUACAGAACCUUGAGGGAAUUUUCUCUUUUUUUUGUAAUAAUGAGUAUUAAUAUUUAAAAACUGCCUUAUGCUUGUAAUCAGUGGAUUGAGAAUUAAGCCACUAUUGGUGAUUAAAACCAGAAUUAAGACCUAAAUUUACAAAAGCCGUUAGGUAUGUUUUAUGGUAGGAGUUCUUACUAUGUGAUUAAUGGAUUUAGGGAUAGUAUAUGAACCCAAGAACUUGUAUGUCUUGGUGUAUAUAUUUAUUUGGGGGGUAAAGAAAAUAUAAUUUCUAUUAGUUUCUUAAAGGGGGCCAUAAUUUGCUUUUAGAUCAGUGGUUUACACUUCACAUUUCAUGUUUAUUUCCCCUCAUUAUUCAACAUAGUAAUAAUCUGGCAUUGGCUCAGAAAAUGUAUCCCUUACUCUUAUAAAAUACAAUUAAAGUAAACCUUCUGGAAUAAAAACAAAAUGCACUAAAAAAGAAAGGAAAUGAUCUUUGGAGUAUCUGUAAUUUAUAAUUGUUCUGACACUGCUUCUUUUUAUUUUUUAUUUUAUUUAUUUAAUUUAUUUAUUUUUGGUACCGGGGAUCGAACUCGGGUCCUUGCGCUUGCAAAGCAGGCAGCAGAACCACUGAGCUAAAUCUCCGGCCCUAACACUGCUUCUUUUUAAAAUUUUCAGUGGCUGAGAGGACUACUUACUAGUAGACAGAGUUUUAACAUCAUAUUUGGUGAAUGUCCAUACUGUAGUAAGGUUGCAAAGGACUCAGCACUUCUCUCAGUGUGGACUUCUCCUUUUAACUUAUUUUGUAUCUGAUCAACUUGUCUUGCUGCAGCCUUUCUUGAAUCAACCUGCUCAAAG